AUUGAACGCUGGCGGCAGGCCUAACACAUGCAAGUCGAGCGAGCGGCGGACGGGUGAGUAAUGUCUGGGAAACUGCCUGAUGGAGGGGGAUAACUACUGGAAACGGUAGCUAAUACCGCAUACCAUCAGAUGUGCCCAGAUGGGAUUAGCUAGUAGGUGGGGGAACUGCUCACCAAGGCGACGAUCCCUAGCUGGUCUGCGAGGAUGACCAGCCACCAUGUGACGGUGAGACGGACCAAACUCCUACGGGCGGCAGCAGUGGGGAAUAUUGCACAAUGGGCGCAGGCCUGAUGCAGCCAUGCAGCGUGUGUGAAGAAGGCCUUCGGGUUUUAAAGCACUUUAAGCGGGGAGGCGUUACCCGCAGAAGAAGCACCGGCUAACUCCGUGCCAGCAGCCGCGGUAAUAC
rnacentral:rRNA from 1 species